CUACGUGCCAGCAGCCGCGGUAAUACGUAUGUCGCGAGCGUUAUCCGGAAUUAUUGGGCAUAAAGGGCAUCUAGGCGGCCGGGUAAGUCCGGGGUGAAAACUGCUGGCUCAACCAGCAGCCUGCCUUGGAAACUACCCGGCUGGAGUGCUGGAGAGGUGGACGGAACUGCACGAGUAGAGGUGAAAUUCGUAGAUAUGUGCAGGAAUGCCGAUGAUGAAGAUAGUUCACUGGACGGCAACUGACGCUGAAGUGCGAAAGCUAGGGGAGCGAACAGGAUUAGAUACCCUGGUAGUCCUAGCUGUAAACGAUGAUUACUGGGUGUGGGCAUGAAGAGUGUCCGUGCCGAAGCUAAUGCGAUAAGUAAUCCGCCUGGGGAGUACGGCCGCAAGGCUGAAACUCAAAGGAAUUGACGGGGACCCGCACAAGCGGUGGAGCAUGUGGUUUAAUUCGACGCAACGCGAGGAACCUUACCAGAUCUUGACAUCC
rnacentral:rRNA from 1 species